CAGCAGCCACGGUAAUACGGAGGGUGCAAGCGUUAAUCGGAAUUACUGGGCGUAAAGCGCACGCAGGCGGUCUGUCAAGUCAGAUGUGAAAUCCCCGGGCUUAACCUGGGAACUGCAUUUGAAACUGGCAGGCUAGAGUCUUGUAGAGGGGGGUAGAAUUCCAGGUGUAGCGGUGAAAUGCGUAGAGAUCUGGAGGAAUACCGGUGGCGAAGGCGGCCCCCUGGACAAAGACUGACGCUCAGGUGCGAAAGCGUGGGGAGCAAACAGGAUUAGAUACCCCGGUAGUCCCUGUCUCUUAUAC
rnacentral:rRNA from 1 species